UACAGAGGUCUCAACCGUUGUUCGGAUUCAUUGGGCGUAAAGGGCGCGUAGGCGGUCGUGACAAGUCACUUGUGAAAUCUCCGGGCUUAACUCGGAACGGUCAAGUGAUACUGUCGGACUAGAGUACAGAAGGGGCAACUGGAAUUCUCGGUGUAGCGGUGAAAUGCGUAGAUAUCGAGAGGAACACCUGCGGCGAAGGCGGGUUGCUGGGCUGAUACUGACGCUGAGGCGCGAAAGCCCAGGGGAGCGAACGGG
rnacentral:rRNA from 1 species